rnacentral:rRNA from 1 species
UACGGAGGAUCCGAGCGUUAUCCGGAUUUACUGGGUGUAAAGGGAGCGCAGACGGAACUGCAAGUCUGAUGUGAAAGCCCGGGGCUCAACCGCGGGACUGCAUCGGAUACUGUGGAUCUGGAGUGCCGGAGGGGCAAGCGGAAUUCCUGGUGUAGCGGUGGAAUGCGCAGAGAUCAGGAGGAAUACCGAAGGCGAAGGCAGUCUUCCAAGCCGUUAUUGACGCUCAACUUCGAAGGUGUGGGUAUCAAACAGGAUUAGAUA